UACGUAGGGGGCAAGCGUUGUCCGGAAUUAUUGGGCGUAAAGAGCUCGUAGGCGGUCUGUCGCGUCGGGUGUGAAAAUCCAGGGCUUAACCCUGGACCUGCAUUCGAUACGGGCAGACUAGAGUUCGGUAGGGGAGAGUGGAAUUCCUGGUGAGCGGUGAAAUGCGCAGAUAUCAGGAAGAACACCUAUGGCGAAGGCAGCUCUCUGGGACGGUACUGACGCUGAGACGCGAAAGCGUGGGGAGCGAACAGG
rnacentral:rRNA from 1 species